rnacentral:pre_miRNA from 1 species
UUUAUAUGUGUAAUUUGUGUGUGCAUGUAUGUGUAUGUUUAGUUAUGAAUAUACACUUAUAUGCCCAAGUACCCAUGUA